AUACACGGGACUAGAUCUUCCUCCUCUCCCCUCCCACGGUCUCCUCUUCUCCGUUAUCUCUCUCUCGCCCCAACCCCAGAUCGAAGAAAAAUCCCUCCACAAUCUUCCUUUGGAUUAUCUCUCUCCCCCAAUUAAAAAACAAAUGGAUUAUAUCUCUCAAACGGAAGGCAUGGAUUCCAUGGGCUCAAGGAGCUUUUUGCAUCAAUAUAAUUUUCCUCAUGUGUUUUGGAUGCCUCAUGUUGAUCAGAUCGGAGGACACCAACUAUACCCAUACUCCACGAUCUUUUCCUCUUGAUUAUCUCUCUUUCCCCCAAUGUAAAACGAAUGGAUCAAAUAGAAGACAUGGAUUCCGUGUGGUCAAGGAGCUUUAUGCAUCAAAAUAAUUUUCCUCAUCUACAUCAGGUACAAUUUUGGAUUCCACAUGGAGAUCAUGUCGGGGCACACCAACUAUACCCAUCGUUACUGCUCAAGAAUCUCCCACUCUGUACGAAGGUUGUCUCUGUAUAAGUUCAAAAUUAUGGCAUGAGACAUGGGGAUGCAAUUAAACUCAAUGGAGAAGGAAACCUGGAAAGGGAUGAACAGAGUAAUUAGUCUGUGUGAUGCCAUUAACCUUGACAAUAAUGAACUUAUGGGACUUGGAAUGAUACUAGAUGAAGAGCUGGCCAUCGUCGUGAUGGUGGGUUCAUAACGCUGCUGCUUCUUAGGUGGAACGUCGUCGCUUCACGGCUGGUCGAAAUGCAGCGCCAAUGCAAAGGCAGGUUUAGCCAGCCCUGAAGUUCUGCAUCUAUGCGUACAUGUGAUGGCUUUCUAGGGCGUCACGUACAUAUAUGGUUUCCAGGCAAGUCAAUUCAGUUCGUUUUGAACAAAUGGAUUGUAUCUCUCAAACGGAAGGCAUGGAUUCCAUGGGCUCAAGGAGCUUUUUGCAUCAAUAUAAUUUUCCUCAUGUGUUUUGGAUGCCUCAUGGAGAUCAGAUCGGAGGACACCAACUAUACCCAUACUCCACGAUCUUUUCCUCUUGAUUAUCUCUCUUUCCCCCAAUGUAAAAUGAAUGGAUCAAAUAGAAGACAUGGAUUCCGUGUGGUCGAGGAGCUUUAUGCAUCAAAAUAAUUUUCCUCAUCUACAUCAGGUACAAUUUUGGAUUCCACAUGGAGAUCAUGUCGGGGCACACCAACUAUACCCAUUGUUACUGCUCAAGAAUCUCCCACUAUGUACGAAGGUUGUCUCUGUAUAAGUUCAAAAUUAUGGCGUGAGACAUGGGGAUGCAAUUAAACUCAAUGGAGAAGGAAACCUGGAAAGGGAUGAACAGAGUAAUUAGUCUGUGUGAUGCCAUUAACCUUGACAACAAUGAACUUAUGGGACUUGGAAUGAUACUAGAUGAAGAGUUGGCCACCGUCGUGAUGGUGGGUUCAUAACGCUGCUACUUCUUGGGUGGAACAUCGUCGCUUCACGGCUGGUCGAAAUACAGCGCCAAUGCAAAGGCAGGUUUAGCCAGCCCUGAAGUUCUGCAUCUAUGCAUACAUGUGAUGGCUUUCUAGGGCGUCACGUACAUAUAUGGUUUCUAGAUCAGAGUCUAUUGUUUUGAUUUUUUUGUUUUUCCUUUUUAUGUUUUCCCAUUGUACUGAUUUUGAGUUUAUUUGAUACGAAUUAUAUGGUUAAUUUAGGUGAACAGAAUAUUUUGUUUGGUUUUCAGGCAAGUCAAUUCAGUUCGUUUUGAUUAUUUCUUUGAAGGGAGGUCAAUCGAUUGGUGAGGUCAUCAACGGCUGUCUAUGGUUGUCUCUAGGUAUCAAAAAUUAUUUCUCGGGCUAUUGUGGACACAGCUGUAGAAUUUAUGUCUAAGGACCUUAUCCACACAAGGAUACUAUUGAACCUUCUUUGACAGUUGGAGACUGAGAUCGAGCAGAAGUAUGGCAACCAUGUCGUGUGGAAAAGGGCCCAUGAACUAGCAUGUCAUCAUGUCACCGUGUCAGACAAUACAUUGCGUAAUGCAUGAGAGGCUCAUAUUAAGCUUGGCCAUCUUCUCUUGAUUUUUUUUCAAUCAGAUUGUCGUACUAGGGAAUUUGCACUGCUUACAAGUAAGGAUCGGCCUUCACCUCACUCUAUGCAUUGUAACAUUGUUAUUUAAUUUAGGUUAAAGUUAUGAUAAAUGCAUGCCUGAUUUAGAGAUGA